GGCGCUCGCGAUCGCAACAGAGGGUUGGGGUUAAUUCCCUUCUCUGACGCCGAGGAGCUCACAGCUGGGAGGGUCAUCUGACCCUGGCAUCCUGGUUCAGUUGGAGGAGCCUGUUUGGGAGGGGCAGUCCACCAGGUUGGACAGGGAUUUUCCAAGCAAGGCAUCAGCUGCCUAAGAGUGAUUACCUAAGUGGAAGCACCUGACAUGCACAUACUUAAACACACUAGGUGUACACCUGACACCUGCCUGUGAUCCCAUUCCCAUACCUUACUGGAUACACCACACAGAGGAUACGCCUACUAAUGCCUCUUCUGGAAUUUGUUGCUACAAUUUAUUAUUAUACAUUCAAACAAGGCAUCACUCAGGCAGCUUGCUUUGCUGGGCCCCCUGCCCACCUGCCCGGCCCACGCUCCCUGGCUGUAUUUGGAUUCCUUCCCACUCACACUGUGAGUUCCUGUAGGCCACUCAUAAGGGGCAUUUCUGAGGACUCUCGUGUGGGGGUACAGACCACCCGUAUGGAGACAAGUUAUCAGGGAUCCUCAGGACUUUAAUUCUACUCUGGUCCAAAUAAAACUGAGAAACACAACCUUUUGCAUCAUAUACCUUUUCCUCCGAAGAAGACUCACAUGCAAGGGUCGAAACGCGUCAGGAACAUUUUGACUUAAAGAUCAGCCAAUCAUGUUGAUCAAUGUCAUGCAACUUUGAUGCUUUAUCAUCAUAUGUAUGUGUUCUCAAUGUUUAAAUUGUACCAGAGCUCAUUGUUUUAUAAUCAAACUUGUUCUACUUGCUAAAAUAAAUAUCUUUUCUACCUUUUUUACAAAUAUUGGUACGUCUUUGUAAUUUCCCACAACAAGCAACAACAAUUGCUGCCUAAAAACCCCACUGGGGAAACUG